UACGGGGGGGGUAAGCGUUGUUCGGAAUUACUGGGCGUAAAGAGCUCGUAGGCGGCUUGGCAAGUCGGGUGUGAAAACUUCAGGCUCAACCUGGAGCGGCCACUCGAUACUGCCAUGGCUUGAGUCCGGUAGGGGACCACGGAAUUCCUGGUGUAGCGGUGAAAUGCGCAGAUAUCAGGAGGAACACCGGUGGCGAAGGCGGUGGUCUGGGCCGGAACUGACGCUGAGGAGCGAAAGCGUGGGGAGCGAACAGG
rnacentral:rRNA from 1 species